CCAGACUCCUACGGGAGGCAGCAGUGGGGAAUAUUGCACAAUGGGGGGAACCCUGAUGCAGCGACGCCGCGUGGGCGAGGAAGUAUUUCGGUAUGUAAAGCCCUAUCGGCAGGGAAGAAGAAAUGACGGUACCUGAAUAAGAAGCACCGGCUAAAUACGUGCCAGCAGCCGCGGUAAUACGUAGGGGGCAAGCGUUAUCCGGAUUUACUGGGUGUAAAGGGGGCGCAGACGGCAGCGCAAGCCAGGAGUGAAAGCCCAGGGCCCAACCCCGGGACUGCUCUUGGAACUGCGUGGCUGGAGUGCAGGAGGGGCAGGCGGAAUUCCUGGUGUAGCGGUGAAAUGCGUAGAUAUCAGGAGGAACACCGGUGGCGAAGGCGGCCUGCUGGACUGCAACUGACGUUGAGGCCCGAAAGCGUGGGGAGCAAACAGGAUUAGAUACCCCGGUAA
rnacentral:rRNA from 1 species